GAUGAACGCUGGCGGCGUGCCUAAUGCAUGCAAGUCGAGCGAACGGACGAGAAGCUUGCUUCUCUGAUGUUAGCGGCGGACGGGUGAGUAACACGUGGAUAACCUACCUAUAAGACUGGGAUAACUUCGGGAAACCGGAGCUAAUACCGGAUAAUAUUUUGAACCGCAUGGUUCAAAAGUGAAAGACGGUCUUGCUGUCACUUAUAGAUGGAUCCGCGCUGCAUUAGCUAGUUGGUAAGGUAACGGCUUACCAAGGCAACGAUGCAUAGCCGACCUGAGAGGAUGAUCGGCCACACUGGAACUGAGACACGGUCCAGACUCCUACGGGAGGCAGCAGUAGGGAAUCUUCCGCAAUGGGCGAAAGCCUGACGGAGCAACGCCGCGUGAGUGAUGAAGGUCUUCGGAUCGUAAAACUCUGUUAUUAGGGAAGAACAUAUGUGUAAGUAACUGUGCACAUCUUGACGGUACCUAAUCAGAAAGCCACGGCUAACUACGUG
rnacentral:rRNA from 1 species